UACGUAGGGGGCAAGCGUUGUCCGGAAUCAUUGGGCGUAAAGAGCGUGUAGGCGGCUCGAUAAGUCCGCUGUGAAAGUCCAGGGCUCAACCCUGGGAUGCCGGUGGAUACUGUCGGGCUCGAGUCCGGAAGAGGCGAGUGGAAUUCCUGGUGUAGCGGGUGAAAUGCGCAGAGUAAUCAGGAGGAACACCAAUUGCGAAGGCAGCUCGCUGGGACGUUACUGACGCUGAGACGCGAAAGCGUGGGGAGCAAACAGG
rnacentral:rRNA from 1 species